ensembl:snRNA U1 U1 spliceosomal RNA
GUACUUAUCUGGCAGGGGACACCAUGAUCACAAAGGUGGUAUUUCCAAGACAAGCUUAUCCAUUGCACUCCGAUGUGCUGACCCCUGUGAUUUCCCAAAUGUGAGAAACUUGCCUACACAGUUUGUGGUAGUGGGGCACUUCAUCCACACUCUCUCCUG